CAGCCGCCACGGUAAUACAGAGGGUGCGAGCGUUAAUCGGAUUUACUGGGCGUAAAGCGUGCGUAGGCGGCUUCUUAAGUCGGAUGUGAAAUCCCUGAGCUUAACUUAGGAAUUGCAUUCGAUACUGGGAAGCUAGAGUAUGGGAGAGGAUGGUAGAAUUCCAGGUGUAGCGGUGAAAUGCGUAGAGAUCUGGAGGAAUACCGAUGGCGAAGGCAGCCAUCUGGCCUAAUACUGGCGCUGAGGUACGAAAGCAUGGGGAGCAAACAGGAUUAGAUACCCCCGUAGUCCCUGUCUCUUAUAC
rnacentral:rRNA from 1 species